rnacentral:tRNA from 1 species
CUUUCAUAUUACCAAACGCAGCACUCUAGGAUCUCAUAACCAUAAGAAAAGUCGAGCUUUUUCUCGAA